UGCCCUGGGCAAUGCCUCCAGGACUGUCCAACCUGAGAAUGGUGAGUGUCUAGGGUCAAUCUCAGGUUCGUCAGCCCGUGAGGUGCUGCCCCUUCCCAGCA
rnacentral:pre_miRNA from 17 species